rnacentral:rRNA from 1 species
UUAAGCGACUAAGCGUACACGGUGGAUGCCCUGGCAGUCAGAGGCGAUGAAGGACGUGCUAAUCUGCGAUAAGCGUCGGUGAGGUGAUAUGAACCGUUAUAACCGGCGAUUUCCGAAUGGGGAAACCCAGUGUGUUUCGACACACUAUCAUUAACUGAAUCCAUAGGUUAAUGAGGCGAACCGGGGGAACUGAAACAUCUAAGUACCCCGAGGAAAAGAAAUCAACCGAGAUUCCCCCAGUAGCGGCGAGCGAACGGGGAGGAGCCCAGAGCCUGAAUCAGUGUGUGUGUUAGUGGAAGCGUCUGGAAAGGCGCGCGAUACAGGGUGACAGCCCCGUACACAAAAAUGCACAUACUGUGAGCUCGAUGAGUAGGGCGGGACACGUGGUAUCCUGUCUGAAUAUGGGGGGACCAUCCUCCAAGGCUAAAUACUCCUGACUGACCGAUAGUGAACCAGUACCGUGAGGGAAAGGCGAAAAGAACCCCGGCGAGGGGAGUGAAAAAGAACCUGAAACCGUGUACGUACAAGCAGUGGGAGCCUCUUAAUGGGGUGACUGCGUACCUUUUGUAUAAUGGGUCAGCGACUUAUAUUCUGUAGCAAGGUUAACCGAAUAGGGGAGCCGAAGGGAAACCGAGUCUUAACUGGGCGUUAAGUUGCAGGGUAUAGACCCGAAACCCGGUGAUCUAGCCAUGGGCAGGUUGAAGGUUGGGUAACACUAACUGGAGGACCGAACCGACUAAUGUUGAAAAAUUAGCGGAUGACUUGUGGCUGGGGGUGAAAGGCCAAUCAAACCGGGAGAUAGCUGGUUCUCCCCGAAAGCUAUUUAGGUAGCGCCUCGUGAAUUCAUCUCCGGGGUAGAGCACUGUUUCGGCAAGGGGGUCAUCCCGACUUACCAACCCGAUGCAAACUGCGAAUACCGGAGAAUGUUAUCACGGGAGACACACGGCGGGUGCUAACGUCCGUCGUGAAGAGGGAAACAACCCAGACCGCCAGCUAAGGUCCCAAAGUCAUGGUUAAGUGGGAAACGAUGUGGGAAGGCCCAGACAGCCAGGAUGUUGGCUUAGAAGCAGCCAUCAUUUAAAGAAAGCGUAAUAGCUCACUGGUCGAGUCGGCCUGCGCGGAAGAUGUAACGGGGCUAAACCAUGCACCGAAGCUGCGGCAGCGACACUAUGUGUUGUUGGGUAGGGGAGCGUUCUGUAAGCCUGUGAAGGUGGCCUGUGAGGGUUGCUGGAGGUAUCAGAAGUGCGAAUGCUGACAUAAGUAACGAUAAAGCGGGUGAAAAGCCCGCUCGCCGGAAGACCAAGGGUUCCUGUCCAACGUUAAUCGGGGCAGGGUGAGUCGACCCCUAAGGCGAGGCCGAAAGGCGUAGUCGAUGGGAAACAGGUUAAUAUUCCUGUACUUGGUGUUACUGCGAAGGGGGGACGGAGAAGGCUAUGUUGGCCGGGCGACGGUUGUCCCGGUUUAAGCGUGUAGGCUGGUUUUCCAGGCAAAUCCGGAAAAUCAAGGCUGAGGCGUGAUGACGAGGCACUACGGUGCUGAAGCGACAAAUGCCCUGCUUCCAGGAAAAGCCUCUAAGCAUCAGGUAACAUUAAAUCGUACCCCAAACCGACACAGGUGGUCAGGUAGAGAAUACCAAGGCGCUUGAGAGAACUCGGGUGAAGGAACUAGGCAAAAUGGUGCCGUAACUUCGGGAGAAGGCACGCUGAUAUGUAGGUGAAGCGACUUGCUCGUGGAGCUGAAAUCAGUCGAAGAUACCAGCUGGCUGCAACUGUUUAUUAAAAACACAGCACUGUGCAAACACGAAAGUGGACGUAUACGGUGUGACGCCUGCCCGGUGCCGGAAGGUUAAUUGAUGGGGUUAGCGGCAACGCGAAGCUCUUGAUCGAAGCCCCGGUAAACGGCGGCCGUAACUAUAACGGUCCUAAGGUAGCGAAAUUCCUUGUCGGGUAAGUUCCGACCUGCACGAAUGGCGUAAUGAUGGCCAGGCUGUCUCCACCCGAGACUCAGUGAAAUUGAACUCGCUGUGAAGAUGCAGUGUACCCGCGGCAAGACGGAAAGACCCCGUGAACCUUUACUAUAGCUUGACACUGAACAUUGAGCCUUGAUGUGUAGGAUAGGUGGGAGGCUUUGAAGUGUGGACGCCAGUCUGCAUGGAGCCGACCUUGAAAUACCACCCUUUAAUGUUUGAUGUUCUAACGUGGGCCCGUAAUCCGGGUUGCGGACAGUGUCUGGUGGGUAGUUUGACUGGGGCGGUCUCCUCCUAAAGAGUAACGGAGGAGCACGAAGGUUGGCUAAUCCUGGUCGGACAUCAGGAGGUUAGUGCAAUGGCAUAAGCCAGCUUGACUGCGAGCGUGACGGCGCGAGCAGGUGCGAAAGCAGGUCAUAGUGAUCCGGUGGUUCUGAAUGGAAGGGCCAUCGCUCAACGGAUAAAAGGUACUCCGGGGAUAACAGGCUGAUACCGCCCAAGAGUUCAUAUCGACGGCGGUGUUUGGCACCUCGAUGUCGGCUCAUCACAUCCUGGGGCUGAAGUAGGUCCCAAGGGUAUGGCUGUUCGCCAUUUAAAGUGGUACGCGAGCUGGGUUUAGAACGUCGUGAGACAGUUCGGUCCCUAUCUGCCGUGGGCGCUGGAGAACUGAGGGGGGCUGCUCCUAGUACGAGAGGACCGGAGUGGACGCAUCACUGGUGUUCGGGUUGUCAUGCCAAUGGCACUGCCCGGUAGCUAAAUGCGGAAGAGAUAAGUGCUGAAAGCAUCUAAGCACGAAACUUGCCCCGAGAUGAGUUCUCCCUGACCCUUUAAGGGUCCUGAAGGAACGUUGAAGACGACGACGUUGAUAGGCCGGGUGUGUAAGCGCAGCGAUGCGUUGAGCUAACCGGUACUAAUGAACCGUGAGGCUUAACCUU